GAUGAACGCUGGCGGCGUGCCUAACACAUGCAAGUCGAGCGAAGCACUUUGCUUAGAUUCUUCGGAUGAAGAGGAUUGUGACUGAGCGGCGGACGGGUGAGUAACGCGUGGGUAACCUGCCUCAUACAGGGGGAUAACAGUUAGACAUGACUGCUAAUACCGCAUAAGACCACAGCACCGCAUGGUGCGGGGGUAAAAACUCCGGUGGUAUGAGAUGAACCCGCGUCUGAUUAGCUAGUUGGUAAGGUAACGGCUUACCAAGGCGACGAUCAGUAGCCGACCUGAGAGGGUGACCGGCCACAUUGGGACUGAGACACGGCCCAAACUCCUACGGGAGGCAGCAGUGGGGAAUAUUGCACAAUGGGGGAAACCCUGAUGCAGCGACGCCGCGUGAGCGAAGAAGUAUUUCGGUAUGUAAAGCUCUAUCAGCAGGGAAGAAAAUGACGGUACCUGACUAAGAAGCACCGGCUAAAUACGUGCCAGCAGCCGCGGUAAUACGUAUGGUGCAAGCGUUAUCCGGAUUUACUGGGUGUAAAGGGAGCGUAGACGGAUGGGCAAGUCUGAUGUGAAAACCCGGGGCUCAACCCCGGGACUGCAUUGGAAACUGUUCAUCCAGAGUGCUGGAGAGGUAAGUGGAAUUCCUAGUGUAGCGGUGAAAUGCGUAGAUAUUAGGAGGAACACCAGUGGCGAAGGCGGCUUACUGGACAGUAACUGACGUUGAGGCUCGAAAGCGUGGGGAGCAAACAGG
rnacentral:rRNA from 1 species